GGAAGUGACUGGAUGUGGAGAGGAGUGUAUCCGCGAAGGAACGCACAAGUGGCCUGACCUGCAGAAGAACGCUAGCUAGGCACUAGGCAUGCCGGCAAGGUCAGCUGAGAGCUGACCCCAGUGCAACGUGGAGGAGUUUGGUUGGGGCAGUCGGAGGAGCACCUGGGCCGCCAAGCGGCCAGACUUCGGGGGAAAGCCAUCUCUCUUCUGGCGCCUUUAUCGGCAGAGAGCUACUUGUACUCAAAACCUUGCACUCAUUCUCCAAGCCCACGUGGGUAAGAUUCACCCACACUGCGGAGGGCGUCGGAGCUCCACAGCCUGCCUGUCUGUAUGCUCCCAUAGAGGUUUGAGCAGCGGGGCACUGGAGAAGCAAGUCACACCCCCAUUGCACGCCAUGGGAGUAGGACAAGGCAGCAUUGACAAUCGCCGUGCAUGCACCUUAGCAUCUCUCUGUAGUGGAUCAGCCAGGAAUUGCUGACAAGGACCCCGCAUGGAUAAGGAUGUAUGUGUGGCCACAAGGAAAUCUUUCCUGGCUGAGGCUGAGUUGGAGACCCUCUGUGUGCUUCCCUGUCACCUGGGCUCACCUGUCCUGACACUCCUGAUUUGACCUGCUGCCUGAAUGAGCCGCAGCUGAUGGAGAUUCAACAGAGUUGGAUUGCUGAGAAUAAAAUUACGGAUUUCUCCAUAAUGGACACACGCACUUUUUGUUUGUGCUGUUUCCUUUAGAAUGGACGAUGAGUCAAAAUUGUUCGUUUAUGCUUCUUCACAGAAGGAUCUUCUGUGUCGUAGGAGGUGGCCUGCAGCAAUCUGGACAUUCAGUGGUCCUCCUGUGAUUAAUAGGUGAACGGAUGAGCUAUUCUGAUAAGAACUGGGGAACUUUUGCCAUUCAAAAGCAAAUAGAAGAACUGGGAGAUUCCUCAACUUAGCUUUUCUUUUUUUUGGUUCUAAAGUGACUGCGAAUGGAGGUAGAAGAGAAGAAAAGCUUUCAAAAACAUCUUCCAUUAAGAAAAAUAUGUAUCUUCAUGAAGACCUAUCUGAGUAAAAUUACUAAAACAUAAUGGCUUUCUUGAAAUAGAAUGGAAUGAAAGGCAUAUUAGGGAGUAUGAAAGUAUGAAGAUUUUAUUAACAUACUUCUAGAAGUUUAUUAAAUAUCUGCACAGGAACUGUAAUUUGAGAUCAGUGGUGGAAAGAGAAUAAAGGAAUCACGUGGACA
rnacentral:lncRNA from 1 species